GAUGAAGAACGUAGCGAAAUGCGAUAAGUAAUGUGAAUUGCAGAAUUCAGUGAAUCAUCGAAUCUUUGAACGCACAUUGCGCCCGCUAGUAUUCUGGCGGGCAUGCCUGUCCGAGCGUCAUUUCAACCCUCAAGCCCCCGGGCUUGGUGUUGGGGAUCGGCGAGCCUCCGCGCCCGCCGUCCCCUAAAUCUAGUGGCGGUCUCGCUGUAGCUUCCUCUGCGUAGUAGCACACCUCGCACUGGGAAACAGCGCGGCCACGCCGUUAAACCCCCAACUGCUGAACGUUUGACCUCGGAUCAGGUAGGAAUACCCGCUGAACUUAAGCAUAUCAAUAAGCGGAGGA
rnacentral:misc_RNA from 1 species